rnacentral:rRNA from 1 species
GACGAACGCUGGCGGCGUGCUUAACACAUGCAAGUCGAACGCUGAAGCUUGGUGCUUGCACUGGGUGGAUGAGUGGCGAACGGGUGAGUAAUAAGUGAGUAACCUGCCCUUGACUCUGGGAUAAGCCUGGGAAACUGGGUCUAAUACUGGAUACGACAUGUCACCGCAUGGUGGUGUGUGGAAAGGGUUUUACUGGUUUUGGAUGGGCUCACGGCCUAUCAGCUUGUUGGUGGGGUAAUGGCUCACCAAGGCGACGACGGGUAGCCGGCCUGAGAGGGUGACCGGCCACACUGGGACUGAGACACGGCCCAGACUCCUACGGGAGGCAGCAGUGGGGAAUAUUGCACAAUGGGCGGAAGCCUGAUGCAGCGACGCCGCGUGAGGGAUGACGGCCUUCGGGUGGUAAACCUCUUUCAGCACGGAAGAAGCGAAAGUGACGGUACGUGCAGAAGAAGCGCCGGCUAACUACGU